rnacentral:sRNA from 1 species
GAAUAACUCAAAAUUUGUAUUUUUCAGUCAGGAUGAAAAAACAGUUAUUCCCCUUGAGAAUGAGAAAUGAAUUUGAUGGUGUUUAUCCCUGACAGUUUUAUUGGUAGGAUUGAAUAUCAGUUAAUGUAUUUUUACAAUAUACCGUGAUCAUUUGGAAAGAAGUGAUCUGAUAAGCUUUUGAUAAGAAUUUGAUAAGUUUUAGAUGGUUUUUUAUACAAUGUUAUGUAGUUUUAAUUUCAAUAUAUUAAUAGUUGAUGUUAGAUUAAUUCAUUAAGUUUGAGCUGUGCAUGUGUAACAAUUGGUGCAUCAUAUAUUGCUUGUUGUGCUCAAAAUGUAGGUCACAAUGACCCAAUUAGAAUUAUGGUAGUUUAUGGUGAAACUAUUUUAGAACAUAUCUAUUUGGAAAAAAAAAACAAACUUGUGUUUUAGAAAUGAAGUACCAUUAAUCAUACCAGGAGUCAUUUACUCAUGUAUAUCAAUGUGAAAGUAGGUCAUGAUGACCUCAAUUUGUAUUUAGCAAGCUGCUAAUCCUAUGUGUUGUUAAUGGUGUUUAAGCACAUUUCUCACACUCUGUAUCUCUGUUGACCAGAUAGAUAGGACAACUCAAGUUAAUGUCAUUUUCUUUUGAGAAUUUUUUUGUUUUGUUUACGCACACAAUGAACGUGAUGAAAUACAUUUAUAACGUAUAUAUAUAGUAUUAUGUUUAUUUUUAUUGUGUUUACACUUACCAUGAAAAACAUAAUACUUGUAUACAAAUGAUGUUUGGGUAAAUGUAGCGAGCUGUAGAUAAAAGUCAAUAUUUACACUUGCAAAUGUUUUCCCUUAUAUAACACUGUUUGAGCAAUCCGCUGUUAUUUCUGCAUAACAUCAUUAUGGGUCAAGAGGUCAAAGUAGCGCAUGAAUAAUAUAGGUCACUACUUUUUCUAUGUACACAAACUAAUCGACUUGUGCUGAAACACACCUAUUAGAUAAUAGAUAUCGUAAUGAAAACAUAAUUUAGGCAUAAAAAAUAAACGUACAUGUAUUUGAAUUUUGUU